ensembl:lncRNA CYP2B7P cytochrome P450 family 2 subfamily B member 7, pseudogene
AUAAAAGGCCCAGUUAGAGGCUGCAGUGGGGUGCAGGGCAGUCAGACUGGAACCAUGGAGCUCAGCGUCCUCCUCUUCCUUGCACUCCUCACAGGCCUCUUGCUACUCCUGGUUCAGCGUCACCCUAACUCCCAUGGCACCCUCCCACCAGGGCCCCGCCCUCUGCCCCUUUUGGGGAACCUUCUGCAGAUGGACAGAAGAGGCCUACUCAAAUCCUUUCUGAGGUUCCGAGAGAAAUAUGGGGACGUCUUCACGGUACACCUGGGACCGAGGCCCGUGGUCAUGCUGUGUGGAGUAGAGGCCAUACGGGAGGCCCUGGUGGACAACGCUGAGGCCUUCUCUGGCCGGGGAAAAAUCGUCAUCAUGGACCCAGUCUACCAGGGAUAUGGCAUGCUCUUUGCCAAUGGAAACCGCUGGAAGGUGCUUCGGCGAUUCUCUGUGACCACCAUGAGGGACUUCGGGAUGGGAAAGCGGAGUGUGGAGGAGCGGAUUCAGGACGAGGCUCAGUGUCUGAUAGAGGAACUUCGGAAAUCCAAGGGAGCCCUCGUGGACCCCACCUUCCUCUUCCAUUCCAUUACCGCCAACAUCAUCUGCUCCAUCAUCUUUGGAAAACGCUUCCACUACCAAGAUCAAGAGUUCCUGAAGACGCUGAACUUGUUCUGCCAGAGUUUCUUACUCAUCAGCUCUAUAUCCAGCCAGGUCCAGGAGAGGGAGAAGGAGAGGGAGGGUGGGGGUGAGGUGAACAUCCAGGACACACGAGAAAAGGAUGACCUGACUUGGGGGCUCAGAAAUGCAGCUUAUCCCUGGAAGAAAUGCAGAGACCACGUGGAGUCAGGGACAUGGAGACCUGGAGGGAGGGGAGGCGGUGAGACAGGGAUAGAGACAGUGAGAGAGAGAAUGGGGCACGAUGGGGAGGCAGAAACAGAGUCAGAGAGAGACUGAGAGAAGAAAGAUGAGCAAAAACAAGACAAAGAAGGGCAGAGAUCAAGAGAUCCUGAGAGACAGAGUUGAUGAGAAUGAAUGUGAAAGAGAGGGAGAGAGAGAAUGAAUCAGGCUUUGGGCUUGAUCUCUGCUCUUCUGCUCCUGG